UAAGUGAAGAGUUUGAUCCUGGCUCAGAGUGAACGCUGGCGGCAGGCCUAACACAUGCAAGUCGAACGGCAGCACAGAGGAGCUUGCUCCUUGGGUGGCGAGUGGCGGACGGGUGAGGAAUACAUCGGAAUCUGCCUUAUCGUGGGGGAUAACGUAGGGAAACUUACGCUAAUACCGCAUACGACCUACGGGUGAAAGCGGGGGAUCGCAAGACCUCGCGCGAUAAGAUGAGCCGAUGUCGGAUUAGCUAGUUGGCGGGGUAAUGGCCCACCAAGGCGACGAUCCGUAGCUGGUCUGAGAGGAUGAUCAGCCACACUGGAACUGAGACACGGUCCAGACUCCUACGGGAGGCAGCAGUGGGGAAUAUUGGACAAUGGGCGCAAGCCUGAUCCAGCCAUGCCGCGUGGGUGAAGAAGGCCU
rnacentral:ncRNA from 1 species